rnacentral:rRNA from 1 species
AAACCAGCACCUCAAGUGGUCAGGAUGAUUAUUGGGCCUAAAGCAUCCGUAGCCGGCUCUGUAAGUUUUCGGUUAAAUCUGUACGCUCAACGUACAGGCUGCCGGAAAUACUGCAGAGCUAGGGAGUGGGAGAGGUAGACGGUACUCGGGAGGAAGGGGUAAAAUCCUUUGAUCUCUCGAUGACCACCUGUGGCGAAGGCGGUCUACCAGAACACGUCCGACGGUGAGGGAUGAAAGCUGGGGGAGCAAACCGGAUUAGAAACCCGGGUAGUCC